rnacentral:rRNA from 1 species
UACGGGGGGAGCAAGCGUUGUUCGGAUUUACUGGGCGUAAAGGGCGCGUAGGCGGCCAGCACAAGUCAGUUGUGAAAUCCCCGAGCUUAACUCGGAAAGGUCAACUGAUACUGUGCGGCUAGAGUGCGGAAGGGGCAACUGGAAUUCUUGGUGUAGCGGUGAAAUGCGUAGAUAUCAAGAGGAACACCUGCGGCGAAGGCGGGUUGCUGGGCCGACACUGACGCUGAGGCGCGAAAGCCAGGGGAGCGAACGGG